UUUCUACUCCCUCCGAUUCAUAUUAAUUGUCGAAAUAUUACAUGUAUCUAGACGCUUUGUAAGCGUAGAUACAUCCAUAUUUGAUCAAAUUUGAGACAAUUAAUAUGGAUCGGAGGGAGUAUAUG
rfam:Brachypodium distachyon strain Bd21 chromosome 2, whole genome shotgun sequence.